GACGAACGCUGGCGGCGUGCUUAACACAUGCAAGUCGAGCGGUAAGGCCCUUUCGGGGGUACGACGAGCGGCGAACGGGUAGGAGUAACAACGUGGGUGGACCUCGCCCUCCAGCUCUGGGAGUAAGCCUGGGAAACCGGGGUACGUAAUAACCGGAUAUGACUCCAUGACGCAUGUUGUGGGGUGGAAAGACCUUGUGCGGCUGAGGAUGGGCCCGGCCGGCCUAUCAGCUUGUUGGUGGGGUGGAUGGCCUACCAAGGCGACGACGGGUAGCCGGCCUGAGAGGG
rnacentral:rRNA from 1 species